rnacentral:rRNA from 1 species
GAACGACUGCUAAGACUGGAUAGGAGGAUAAAAGGCAUCUUUUAUCUUUUAAAAGACCUAGUAAUAGGUAUGCUUUAGGAGGGGCUUGCGCCAUAUUAGUUAGUUGGUAGGGUAAUGGCCUACCAAGACGAUGAUGUGUAGCUGGACUGAGAGGUUGAACAGCCACAUUGGGACUGAGACACGGCCCAAACUCCUACGGGAGGCAGCAGUAGGGAAUUUUCGGCAAUGGAGGAAACUCUGACCGAGCAACGCCGCGUGAAUGACGAAGUACUUCGGUAUGUAAAGUUCUUUUAUCAAGGAAGAAAAGCAAAUGGCGAACCAUUUGUUUGCCGGUACUUGAUGAAUAAGCCCCGGCUAAUUAUGUGCCAGCAGCCGCGGUAAGACAUAAGGGGCAAGUGUUAUCCGGAAUUAUUGGGCGUAAAGGGUGCGUAGGCGGUCUAGUAAGUCAGUGGUGUAAUGGCAACGCUUAACGUUGUCCGGCUAUUGAAACUGCUAAACUUGAGUUAGAUAGAGGCGAGUGGAAUUCCAUGUGUAGCGGUAAAAUGCGUAAAUAUAUGGAGGAACACCAGAGGCGUAGGCGGCUCGCUGGGUCUUAACUGACGCUGAGGCACGAAAGCGUGGGGAGCAAACAGGAUUAGAUACCCUGGUAGUCCACGCCGUAAACGAUGAGUACUAAGUGUCGGGUUAAACCGGUACUGAAGUUAACACAUUAAGUACUCCGCCUGAGUAGUACGUACGCAAGUAUGAAACUUAAAGGAAUUGACGGGACUCCGCACAAGCGGUGGAUCAUGUUGUUUAAUUCGAAGAUACCCGAAAAACCUUACCAGGUCUUGACAUGUUUUUGCAAAAUGAUAGUAAUAUCGUGGAGGUUACCAGAAACACAGGUGGUGCAUGAUUGUCGUCAGCUCGUGUCGUGAGAUGUUAGGUUAAGUCCUAAAACGAGCGAAACCCUUAUCGUUAGUUGCCAGCACGUUAUGGUGGGGACUUUAACGAGACUGCCAAUGAUAAAUUGGAGGAAGGUGAGGAUCACGUCAAAUCAGCAUGCCCCUUAUGACCUGGGCUACAAACGUGAUACAAUGGCUGUUACAAAGGGUAGCUGAAACGCAAGUUCUUGGCCAAUCCCCAAAAACAGUCCCAGUCCGGAUUGAAGUCUGCAACUCGACUUCAUGAAGUUGGAAUCGCUAGUAAUCGCGAAUCAGCAUGUCGCGGUGAAUACGUUCGCGGGGUUUGUACACACCGCCCGUCA